rnacentral:rRNA from 1 species
AACGAACGCUGGCGGCAUGCUUAACACAUGCAAGUCGAACGAGACCUUCGGGUCUAGUGGCGCACGGGUGCGUAAGGAGGGGGAACCUGCACUUAGGUUCGGAAUACCUCCCCGAGAGGGGUGCUAAUACCGGUUGAUGUCUUCGGACCAAAGAUUUAUCGCCUUUGGAUGGGCCCGCGUUGGAUUAGCUAGUUGGUAGGGUACAAGCCUACCAAGGCGACGAUGCAUAGCUGGUCUGAGAGGAUGAUCAGCCACACUGGGACUGAGGCACGGCCCAGCCUCCUACGGGAGGCAGCAGUGGGGAAUAUUGUACAAUGGGCGAAAGCCUGAUCCAGCAAUGCCGCGUGUGUGAGGAAGGCCUUAGGGUUGUAAAGCUCUUUUACCCGGGAUGAUAAUGACAGUACCGGGAGAAUAAGCUCCGGCUAACUCCGUG